UAUGAUGUUUGCUGCCUGAUGUGACUCUC
rnacentral:piRNA from 1 species